UACCUUUGACAAACCUUUACAUUUCUAUACUACUAGGGCUUGUCUGGUAGCCCUCAUUUGGGCUGAAACACCCCUUCCACCACUCCUAAACCGUCGUUUGGUAGCUCUAAUACCAAUCUGCCGACCCGGAAUAAACAACCGGGUUUCACACUUGCAUAUACUAGUAUCAGCAGAAUUGUGUCAACACAAUCAGAGAGGAGAGAGGGGAGUGGUAUUAGUUUCACGAUUUCGCCGAUUACAAGGGGAGGAAGGUAUUUGGCCGAAAUUGCCCUCUGCAGCCGUUGCAAAAUUGCAUCUUGUGAACCGACGAAGGUCAAAUUUGGUCGGCACAGUGCCGGCGAGGAUAACUGUUCACUCCCGAUUGUCGUCCUCUUUUCAAUUCCGGCUCCUUCGCACUACCUUCAUCCGGUAUUGCUACUGCUUACUGUGGAAUGGGGAAAAAAGGAGGAAGGAGAUGGAGGCCGCGGUAGUGAUGAUUGAGGACCUGAUUCGUGCUCUGCUCGUCUGACUCCGCGGAUGUGGUUGUGGAUUUCGUGAACUAUGUGUAGUAGAGUUCUCCCCUGAGGUAAUGGUAUGUAAUGGGAUUGUGCAUCUGCUGAUUUGUUUGAUAAAUCCAAUCCGGUUAGUGUUUGACGGGAAAGUGGGGUCUGGUCUGGUUCUGUGAAACUUGCGUUUGUAGCCUUUGAUUUUCAAUUGUGAAUGGAGUAAUGCCGUCCCUAAUACUUGUUCACAUACUUGUUCAUCUUCUCCCCAUUUCUAUGUAUUGGUGUAAAUUGUUGAUUUCCCUUGCCAA